UGACAAACUCCUCUUUCUAAUAUCCAACCCAAACCUCCCCUGACAAAACUUCAGGCCGUUCCCUGUGGUCCUGUCACUGGUCACCACAGAAAAGAGAUCAUUGCCUGAACAGUUUUGUUC